GAGCGCUACUGCCAUUAAAGCUAAUUGGA
rnacentral:piRNA from 1 species